rnacentral:rRNA from 1 species
UACGUAGGUGACAAGCGUUGUCCGGAUUUACUGGGCGUAAAGAGCGCGCAGGCGGUCGUUCAAGUCGAGUGUGAAAGCCCCCGGCUCAACUGGGGAGGGUCAUUCGAUACUGAUCGACUCGAAGGCAGGAGAGGGUAGUGGAAUUCCCGGUGUAGUGGUGAAAUGCGUAGAUAUCGCUUGGAACGCCGAAGGUGAAAACAGGCUGCUGGGGUUGUGCCGACGCUGAGACACGAAAGCCAGGGGAGCAAACGGG